UAUUACCGCGGCUGCUGGCACGAAGUUAGCCGGGGCUUCUUCUACGGGUACCGUCAUUAUCUUCCCCGUCGAAAGAGCUUUACAAUCCGAAGACCUUCAUCACUCACGCGGCAUUGCUGGAUCAGGCUUUCGCCCAUUGUCCAAUAUUCCCCACUGCUGCCUCCCGUAGGAGU
rnacentral:rRNA from 1 species